rnacentral:rRNA from 1 species
AUAUAACUAGGCGGAGGAAAAGAAAUUAACGAAGAUUUCCUUAGUAACGGCGAGUGAAAAGGAAAUAGUUCAGCGCUGAAUCCUUUAGUCUAUGGCUAAAGGACCUGUGGCGUGAAGGAGAGCCUAUCUGUCGGGUGUUAGACUUCGGAAGAUCCCUCGAAUGGGACCCCAAAGCAGGUGCGAGGCCUGUAACGAGGUGAUACCCGUCAGUUUGCGCCUCUAUAGAGUCGGGUUACUUGAGAGUGUAGCCCAAAGCGGAAGGUAAACCCCUUCUAAAACUAAAUAUUACCACGAGACCGAUAGCGCACAAGUA